CCUACGGGAGGCUGCAGUGGGGAAUAUUGCACAAUGGGCGCAAGCCUGAUGCAGCCAUGCCGCGUGUGUGAAGAAGGCCUUCGGGUUGUAAAGCACUUUCAGCGGGGAGGAAGGCGGUGAGGUUAAUAACCUCAUCGAUUGACGUUACCCGAAGAAGAAGCACCGGCUAACUCCGUGCCAGCAGCCGCGGUAAUACGGAGGGUGCAAGCGUUAAUCGGAAUUACUGGGCGUAAAGCGCACGCAGGCGGUCUGUCAAGUCGGAUGUGAAGUCCCCGGGCUCAACCUGGGAACUGCAUUCGAAACUGGCAGGCUAGAGUCUUGUAGAGGGGGGUAGAAUUCCGGGUGUAGCGGUGAAAUGCGUAGAGAUCUGGAGGAAUACCGGUGGCGAAGGCGGCCCCCUGGACAAAGACUGGCGCUCAGGUGCGAAAGCGUGGGGAGCAAACAGGAUUAGAUACCCUAGUAGUC
rnacentral:rRNA from 1 species